GGUUCUCUCCGAAAUAGCUUUAGGGCUAGCCUCAAGUGAUGAUUAUUGGAGGUAGAGCACUGUUUGGACGAGGGGCCCCUCUCGGGUUACCGAAUUCAGACAAACUCCGAAUGCCAAUCAAUUUAACUUGGGAGUCAGAACAUGGGUGAUAAGGUCCGUGUUCGAAAGGGAAACAGCCCAGACCACCAGCUAAGGUCCCAAAAUAUAUGUUAAGUGGAAAAGGAUGUGGCGUUGCCCAGACAACUAGGAUGUUGGCUUAGAAGCAGCCAUCAUUUAAAGAGUGCGUAAUAGCUCACUAGUCGAGUGACACUGCGCCGAAAAUGUACCGGGGCUAAACAUAUUACCGAAGCUGUGGAUUGUC
rnacentral:rRNA from 1 species